rnacentral:rRNA from 1 species
AACGAACGCUGGCGGCAUGCCUAACACAUGCAAGUCGAACGAGACCUUCGGGUCUAGUGGCGCACGGGUGCGUAACGCGUGGGAACCUGCCCUUAGGUUCGGAAUAACUCCCCGACAGGGGUGCUAAUACCGGAUAAUGUCUUCGGACCAAAGAUUUAUCGCCUUUGGAUGGGCCCGCGUUGGAUUAGCUAGUUGGUAGGGUAAAAGCCUACCAAGGCGACGAUCCAUAGCUGGUCUGAGAGGAUGAUCAGCCACACUGGGACUGGGACACGGCCCAGACUCCUACGGGAGGCAGCAGUGGGGAAUAUUGGACAAUGGGCGAAAGCAUGAUCCAGCAAUGCCGCGUGAGUGAUGAAGGCCUUAGGGUUGUAAAGCUCUUUUACCCGGGAUGAUAAUGACAGUACCGGGAGAAUAAGCUCCGGCUAACUCCGUG